ACCGUUUUGGAGAAUUUGAUGUUUUCCCAUUCAAAGAGAUUGCAUGAUGCCCAGGAUGCCCGAGAGGCGUUUCAAAGAUGGCCGCCGAGUGAAAUGACUUAAAGGGACUUUGUUAAAAGAUACAUGACUCACCAGUGAGGUAACUGUGCGAUUCUUGAGAUAAACUUAUAGUUUCGCUGGAGACACUGCUGCCGUUAGAGACGCACAGAUCAGGUCAAAGCAUUUUGCAAAUUGUUGCUCUUCUGCCACUUGACUGCACCAGCACAUACAGACGCGAUUGUCGCCUCUUCACAGCUGCACAUCAUUUAGCAGAUGUCCAGUACAACAGCAUCAUACUUCACAAUCAACACAUGGCUGUUCAUCAUUUCCUCACCUCCAAACACGCACUACACCUUCCUCAACAAGGACAUUUCAAACAAAGCUUUGAAGCAGAAACAAAUCAGAGAUUUCUGUGCUCCUAUUGUAUCACGUAAUUGAAAUGUAGAUUGGGUGCCGCUUUUCAAACUGUGCUGCCACCUCUGAUCGGUUUUCAAAGCCUUUGCUGUUGCAUAACCAAUACUCCUGAAACUAAACACGCAGCUUUUCAGGUUUUGGUUUAUUCAUUUAUUGUCAAAUAUGUUAUAACAUCAGAUAGAUUUGAAAAAGUGAUAUGCUUAGCUGUAAAACUAAACUAAUUGCCUUUCAGCUGGUUGAGUUGUUGAUAGUUGAGAAGUGAAGACAUGGAUCAAUAAAAGAACAUUUCGAAGCAAAUCCA